rnacentral:rRNA from 1 species
UACGAGGGGGGCGAGCGUUGUUCGGAAUUAUUGGGCGUAAAGGGUGCGUAGGCGGUUUGGUAAGUCUUGUGUGAAAUCUACAGGCUCAACUUGUAGUCUGCACGAGAAACUGCCGGGCUUGAGUAUGGGAGAGGUGAGUGGAAUUCCUGGUGUAGCGGUGAAAUGCGUAGAUAUCAGGAGGAACACCUGUGGCGAAAGCGGCUCACUGGACCAUAACUGACGCUGAUGCACGAAAGCUGGGGGGAGCAAACAGG